UCCUACGGGGGGCAGCAGUGAGGAAUCUUGCGCAAUGGGGGAAACCCUGACGCAGCAACGCCGCGUGAGUGAGGAAGGCUUUCGGGUCGUAAAGCUCUGUCAGAUGGGAAGAAAUGGGUGAAGGUCAAUACCCUUCAUCCUUGACGGUACCGUCAAAGGAAGCACCGGCUAACUCCGUGCCAGCAGCCGCGGUAAUACGGGGGGUGCAAGCGUUGUUCGGAAUCAUUGGGCGUAAAGCGCGCGCAGGCGGCUUGGUAAGUCAGAUGUGAAAGCCCUGGGCUUAACCCAGGAAGUGCAUUUGAUACUGCCUCGCUAGAGUACGGGAGAGGAAAGUGGAAUUCCUGGUGUAGAGGUGAAAUUCGUAGAUAUCAGGAGGAACACCGGUGGCGAAGGCGACUUUCUGGCCCGAUACUGACGCUCAGGCGCGAAAGCGUGGGGAGCAAACAGGAUUAGAUACCCCUGUAGUCCA
rnacentral:rRNA from 1 species